GACGAACGCUGGCGGCGUGCUUAACACAUGCAAGUCGAACGGAAAGGCCCUGCUUUUGUGGGGUGCUCGAGUGGCGAACGGGUGAGUAACACGUGAGUAACCUGCCCUUGACUUUGGGAUAACUUCAGGAAACUGGGGCUAAUACCGGAUAGGAGCUCCUGCUGCAUGGUGGGGGUUGGAAAGUUUCGGCGGUUGGGGAUGGACUCGCGGCUUAUCAGCUUGUUGGUGGGGUAGUGGCUUACCAAGGGUUUGACGGGUAGCCGGCCUGAGAGGGUGACCGGCCACAUUGGGACUGAGAUACGGCCCAGACUCCUACGGGAGGCAGCAGUGGGGAAUAUUGCACAGUGGGCGGAAGCCUGAUGCAGCAACGCCGCGUGCGGGAUGACGGCCUUCGGGUUGUAAACCGCUUUCGCCUGUGACGAAGCGUGAGUGACGGUAAUGGGUAAAGAAGCACCGGCUAACUACGUG
rnacentral:rRNA from 1 species